UACGGGGGUGGCAAGCGUUGUUCGGAAUUACUGGGCGUAAAGGGCGCGUAGGCGGGCGGGCAAGUCUCUCGUGGAAGCCCACGGCUCAACCGUGGAACUGCGGGAGAUACUGCCUGUCUUGAGUCCGGGAGAGGAGGGUGGAAUUCCCAGUGUAGCGGUGAAAUGCGUAGAUAUUGGGAGGAACACCGGUGGCGAAGGCGGCUCUCUGGACCGGUACUGACGCUGAGGCGCGAAAGCUAGGGGAGCAAACGGG
rnacentral:rRNA from 1 species